rnacentral:rRNA from 1 species
ACGAAGUUAACUUAACCUAUGGAUGGGAAUAACCUCGGGAAACUGAGAAUAAUACCCAAUAGACCACAGUGCCUGGAAUGGCCUGUGGUUGACAUGAUUUAUCGCCGUAGGACAGGACUGCGGCCUAAUCAUGCUUUUGCUUUGAGUGAGGGUAAUGGCCCACCAAGGCUAUAACAGGUACGGGCUCUGAGAGGAGGGGCCCGGAGAUGGGUACUGAGACACGGAACCAGGCCCUAUGGGGCGCAGCAGGCGAGAAACCUUUGCAAUGUGCGAAAGCACGACAAGGUUAACUCCGAGUUGUCUCCUGCUAAAGGAGUC